rnacentral:lncRNA from 1 species
GUUACAUGAAGCAAGGACAAUGGUACUUGCAUUCAAAAUAUUAAUAAUUUAUAAAUGUUUUUCUACCAGAAAGCCUGGCAAGGUUCUUGUUCAUCCUUUUGAAAUGGAUUCUUUUCUGAACAAAUUAGUCUCAGUUUGAACUAUAUAAUGUUUUUAUAUCCCAAAAUAAAAUGUGUUAUGUUGCUCAACACCACGAAUAACAAUAGAGAAGACUAUCUAUACUGACAGCCUCUUAGCAACUUAAAAUAUGGAUGAAUCACUUGCUUGACUUUUUUAAAAGGGUAGUACUCCAAAGUACUUGUUACUUUGAAACUAAUCUUCCUGGAAUGGUUCACACACCAGAGAGCCCAAUGCUUUUACUGCGUAGCAUACACAUUUUAAAUUGAUAUGCUUUUUUUUUUCUUUUUAGUUAUUGUGUCUAUUUGUGGAUGAUCAGAGAUGCAAGGAAUCCUUCCUAUAUAUUAGCUACCAUCUUUCAAAUGUGACAUUAGCACAACCAAUGACUUUAUAGUUUUUCUUCAAAAGGCGUAAGUUGCUAAUGGUGCAUUUUCUUUGCAUAAGAGAUGACACUCAGUGAAACAGAGAUACAAACAGAUCAUCAGUUUCAGUAUGAAAAGCUUGCUUCACUGUCGUUGGAUAAAGGACAUGAAAUUACAGCUACAGUACCAGCAGCUGCUAUUGUUUCUCUUUCCCUUCCAUCAGGAUUCAAUGCUGGAGGGAGCAGCAUUCAUCCCCUGGCAGGACAGCUUCUAACAGCAGUCAGAACGUGAUUGAUACUUGUCAAUGGACAGUCUCUAGAGCCCUACAACAUCAGCUGACUAACACAUUGCACCCUUCACCAAUAAGCACCUCUUACUUUUCAAGCAUUGUUGGCUGUUUGUUGGUACUGUGUUAGGGAAGGGGGCCCAAGCACAUUGCACUACCAGUUUCAUUGUACACCUGGCCUUUCUGCUGCUAGGGUUUCAGACAAUGCACUAUACUGGAAAAAAUUGACAUAAUGGCUGAACUCAAUCCAAGAUCUACUUCCAUCUGUUCAAUAAGUAUAUUUUUGCCUUGCUAAAUUUAUUUUCUUCUUUUCUUAAAGUCCCACUGUUUGAUAAGAUUUCUGAUUUCUUGCCUCAUUCCAGACUAUACUGUGCAUGAGUAAGUGCAAGGAAUCAGUCUUUCAGUUUUCUUUAUCGUC